CUUGGUCAUCCUGAAUGCACCUGAUCUCAGCUGAUCUGGGAAGCUAAGCAGGGUUGGACCUGGUUAGUACUUGGGUGGGGUUGGACUUCAUCUGCACCAUGAGCUUUCCUAGGUCUCCAGC
rnacentral:rRNA from 1 species